UGUCGUCAGCUCGUGUCGUGAGAUGUUGGGUUAAGUCCCGCAACGAGCGCAACCCUCAUCCUUAGUUACCAUCAGGUAAUGCUGGGGACUUUAAGGAAACUGCCAGUGAUAAACUGGAGGAAGGUGGGGAUGAUGUCAAGUCAUCAUGGCCCUUAUGGAGUGGGCUACACACGUGCUACAAUGGUGGCUACAAUGGGCUGCAAAGUCGCGAGGCUAAGCCAAUCCCUUAAAAGCCAUCUCAGUUCGGAUUGUACUCUGCAACUCGAGUGCAUGAAGUUGGAAUCGCUAGUAAUCGUGGAUCAGCAUGCCACGGUGAAUACGUUCUCGGGUCUUG
rnacentral:rRNA from 1 species